GAAAGGACCGUGGGGGGAGGCAUAUAUAUGGAGAUUAUUGAAGAGUGUCCUCUGUGGACCAACCUCUGCUAUCAGUGAACGUUGUCGGCAUUUUAAAUAAUCGAGGGCAAUAGUAUCGAUCCAAACAUGCCUGUAUCGGUUUAAUUAGACAUUGGAAAGUCGUCCACUUAACAAAACCACGGGGCGUUGAUUCGAGAACUUGGCUAGCAGGCUAGGCGUUCAGAGAUUAGUCAAAGGCUGCUUUUGUGCAAGCCAAAGUAUCUGCCAUAACAAGCUGGCGCCGGAGUGAUUGAUCAAUCUCACCGUCCCGUAUGUUAGAAAUGAAUUAAUUACCUGAUUGAUUGUGAAAUUAAUCCAUGCAAGCCGGUGAUUAAUGGGGCCUAGCAAGCAGCAAAUGACAUAUAUAGAAUAGGGUGGAAUCUCAUGCUAGCUAGGGUCACUUGUGUAUGUCUUGCAUGAUUUUUCAUCUACGUCAAUCACACAUAUAAAAUUUAACUGUCA